rnacentral:rRNA from 1 species
UACGUAGGGUGCAAGCGUUAAUCGGAAUUACUGGGCGUAAAGCGUGCGCAGGCGGUUCUAUAAGACAGAUGUGAAAUCCCCGGGCUCAACCUGGGAACUGCAUUUGUGACUGUAGAGCUGGAGUACGGUAGAGGGGGAUGGAAUUCCGCGUGUAGCAGUGAAAUGCGUAGAUAUGCGGAGGAACACCGAUGGCGAAGGCAAUCCCCUGGACCUGUACUGACGCUCAUGCACGAAAGCGUGGGGAGCAAACGAGG